rnacentral:rRNA from 1 species
UGGUCAUGCGUCGCAUUAGCUUGUUGGCGGGGUAACGGCCCACCAAGGCGACGAUGCGUAGGGGUUCUGAGAGGAAGGUCCCCCACACUGGUACUGAGACACGGACCAGACUCCUACGGGAGGCAGCAGUGAGGAAUAUUGGUCAAUGGCCGCAGGGCUGAACCAGCCAAGUCGCGUGAGGGAUGACGGUCCUAUGGAUUGUAAACCUCUUUUGUCAGGGAGCAAAGGGCGCCACGUGUGGCGUUUUGCGAGUACCUGAAGAAAAAGCAUCGGCUAACUCCGUGCCAGCAGCCGCGGUAAUACGGAGGAUGCGAGCGUUAUCCGGAUUUAUUGGGUUUAAAGGGUGCGCAGGCGGAAUGUCAAGUCAGCGGUAAAAUUUCGGGGCUCAACCCCGUCGUGCCGUUGAAACUGGCGUUCUUGAGUGAGCGAGAAGUAUGCGGAAUGCGUGGUGUAGCGGUGAAAUGCAUAGAUAUCACGCAGAACUCCGAUUGCGAAGGCAGCAUACCGGCGCUCAACUGACGCUCAUGCACGAAAGCGUGGGUAUCGAACAGGAUUAGAUACCCUGGUAGUCCACGCAGUAAACGAUGAAUACUAACUGUCCGGGCAGAAUGAUGCCUGG